rnacentral:rRNA from 1 species
GAUGAACGCUGGCGGCGUGCCUAAUACAUGCAAGUCGAGCGAACGGACGAGAAGCUUGCUUUUCUGAUGUUAGCGGCGGACGGGUGAGUAACACGUGGAUAACCUACCUAUAAGACUGGGAUAACUUCGGGAAACCGGAGCUAAUACCGGAUAAUAUUUUGAACCGCAUGGUUCAAAAGUGAAAGACGGUCUUGCUGUCACUUAUAGAUGGAUCCGCGCUGCAUUAGCUAGUUGGUAAGGUAACGGCUUACCAAGGCAACGAUGCAUAGCCGACCUGAGAGGGUGAUCGGCCACACUGGAACUGAGACACGGUCCAGACUCCUACGGGAGGCAGCAGUAGGGAAUCUUCCGCAAUGGGCGAAAGCCUGACGGAGCAACGCCGCGUGAGUGAUGAAGGUCUUCGGAUCGUAAAACUCUGUUAUUAGGGAAGAACAUAUGUGUAAGUAACUGUGCACAUCUUGACGGUACGUAAUCAGAAAGCCACGGCUAACUACGUG